UUCCCAAGUCUUCCUCCUUGUGUCCUACUUUUCUCUUCUCUAAGCAAAACCCAAAACACAAACCAGCACAUAACUCACCACCACCCCUUUUGUCCACAUUAACUCACUCUCUUUCUCUUCUUCACACAACUCACAACCAACACUCUCAACUUCUGAUCUUUUUCACAUUUUCUCGAGCACCAUGGAUCCUCACAUCUAUGGUGUCUCCAAAUUAUGCUUCAUUUCUUCUCUGUUUCUCUUCUCUUUAAUUACUGUUUCUGCAUUGCCUCAUACCCCGUCUUCUAAAUUCUCUUCUUCUUCGUCUUCUAAUAAUACAGGAAUCAACUCUAACUCCGUUCUGGUUGCGCUUCUCGACUCGCAUUAUACUGAGUUGGCUGAACUCGUUGAGAAGGCUCUUCUUCUUCAAACUCUUGAAGAAGCUGUUGGCAAACACAAUAUUACCAUUUUUGCUCCUAGAAAUGAAGCCCUGGAACGCCAGCUUGACCCCGAAUUCAAGCGCUUCUUGCUUGAACCCGGGAAUCUCAAGUCUCUUCAAACUCUUCUAAUGUUCCACAUUAUUCCUAAACGGGUCGGAUCUAGUCAAUGGCCGAGUGAAAAAUCUAAGCCACUCAAGCAUUCUACUCUCUGCAAUGAUCAUCUUCGCUUAAUUAGCAAAAGCUCCGGCAAAAAGGCUGUUGACUCUGCUGAAAUUAUCCGACCCGAUGAUGUCAUCCGACCCGACGGCGUUAUCCAUGGAAUCGAGAGGCUUCUAAUCCCGCAAUCAGUACAAGAAGACUUUAACCGGAGGAGAAAUCUCAGAUCUAUAUCUGCAGUUCUACCUGAAGGCGCACCGGAGGUGGAUCCAAGAACUCACCGUUUAAAGAAACCGGCAGCACCGGUACCAGCUGGAGCACCACCGGUUUUACCUAUUUAUGAUGCGUUGGCACCUGGUCCUUCCUUGGCUCCGGCACCAGCUCCGGGGCCUGGUGGACCUCACCAUAAAUUUGACGGUGAAAGCCAGGUGAAGGACUUCAUCCAAACACUGUUACAUUACGGCGGUUACAAUGAAAUGGCAGAUAUCUUAGUGAACUUAACGUCGCUAGCCACUGAAAUGGGACGGUUAGUUUCAGAAGGAUAUGUUCUAACAGUGUUAGCACCGAAUGACGAAGCCAUGGCUAAGCUAACGACGGACCAAUUGAGCGAACCCGGCGCACCGGAGCAAAUCAUUUAUUACCAUAUCAUACCGGAAUACCAAACGGAAGAGAGUAUGUACAAUGCAGUGAGGAGAUUUGGAAAAAUAAAGUACGACACGCUGCGAUUGCCGCAUAAAGUGGUUGCGCAGGAGGCGGAUGGGUCGGUUAAAUUCGGAUCCGGUGAUGCGUCUGCCUAUUUGUUCGAUCCAGACAUUUAUACAGAUGGAAGGAUAUCAGUCCAGGGAGUUGACGGCGUUUUGUUCCCGGAAGAGGAGAAAGAGACAGUCACAAAGCCAACGGCCGCCGUCAAGGUCGUUUCUGCCAAGCCAAGGAGAGGGAAAUUAAUGGAAGUAGCUUGUAGAAUUGCUGGAGCUUUUGGACAGGAUUCACAUUUCAGUACAUGUCAAUGAACCUGCACAGCUAAAAAUUUUAAUAAUAGUAAAAAUGGAACCAUGAAAAAAAUAGAGAAAAUGGAAGAAUAUGUGUAAUAAAAUCACAAACAGAAGGGAUCAAUUGGCGUUUUAUGAUUUUAUCAGAAUCCCUGCAGUAAAAGAGAGAGUUUGUUGUUAUUUUGUUAUAAUUACUGUAAUUAAAUAUCAAUUUUUUAAUUAAUUUUUUUUCUUUCUUUC